rnacentral:rRNA from 1 species
UACGUAGGGGGCUAGCGUUGUCCGGAAUCAUUGGGCGUAAAGCGCGCGUAGGCGGUCAGGUAAGUCCGGUGUGAAAGUCAAAGGCUCAACCUUUGAAUGCCGCUGGAUACUGCCUGACUUGAGUCCGGAAGGGGCGAGUGGAAUUCCUGGUGUAGCGGUGAAAUGCGCAGAUAUCAGGAAGAACACCAAUGGCGAAGGCAGCUCGCUGGAACGGUACUGACGCUGAGGCGCGAAAGCGUGGGGAGCGAACAGG